AAACUUGAGCUAAUACCGUAUAAUGACUUCGGUCCAAAGAUUUAUCGCCUGAGGAUGAGCCCGCGUAGGAUUAGCUUGUUGGUGAGGUAAAAGCUCACCAAGGCGACGAUCCUUAGCUGGUCUGAGAGGAUGAUCAGCCACACUGGGACUGAGACACGGCCCAGACACCUACGGGAGGCAGCAGUGGGGAAUAUUGGACAAUGGGCGAAAGCCUGAUCCAGCAAUGCCGCGUGAGUGAUGAAGGCCUUAGGGUUGUAAAGCUCUUUUACCCGGGAUGAUAAUGACAGUACCGGGAGAAUAAGCCCCGGCUAACUCC
rnacentral:rRNA from 1 species